CCUACGGGAGGCAGCAGUGAGGAAUAUUGGUCAAUGGACGCAAGUCUGAACCAGCCAUGCCGCGUGCAGGAAGACGGCUCUAUGAGUUGUAAACUGCUUUUGUACGAGGGUAAACGCAGAUACGCGUAUCUGUCUGAAAGUAUCGUACGAAUAAGGAUCGGCUAACUCCGUGCCAGCAGCCGCGGUAAUACGGAGGAUUCAAGCGUUAUCCGGAUUUAUUGGGCUUAAAGGGUACGUAGGCGGUCGGUUAAGUUAGAGGUGAAAUCCCGGGGCUCAACUUGGGAAUUGCCUCUGAUACUGUGCGGCUAGAGAGUAGUAGAGGUAGGCAGAAUGUAGGGUGUAGCGGUGAAAUGCUUAGAGAUCAUACAGAAAACCGAUGGCGAAGGCAGCGUACCA
rnacentral:rRNA from 1 species